UGUCUCAUCAUUCAAGGAAUGUGUCUGGUUGAACAUACGGGACAUUUCAUCACUUUAUGGGAGAUUAAUGCCAAAAUGAAACCACAGGUCUGAGUGAGAGCUUGUUUAUUCACUUACUUCUUGAUAGCCCUGUUUUCUAAGAAGUCAGUAGACAGAAUUGUUUGCUGAUAAGCUUACACAACAGCUAAGUUUUGACCUGCGGGUUGUUGAUCAUCUACAAUGUGUUAUCCAGAUGGGAAUGUCAGGAGAUAGAACACAAUUGAGUGGCAUCUGGUGACUCAGAAUCAUUUGUCUGUUAAUGAGGGAGAAAUGAAAGUGUAAUAAUGGAAUUGUUUUGGGGCCUAUCAUAUACUGAAAUACUGCAGAGUUCUUAAAUGUUAGGUCAUAAGAAACUGCAUUCUUUUUCUGAUAUAUUCCUAUAGGAAAGUUUCUCUGAAUACUAAAAAUUAUGACAGCAAUUAAAAUUAGUAUGUGCUAUUCAUACAGUUUUCUGCUUCUGUUUCGAGACAUUUUUGCCAAGUUCACAGCCUAAUGUUCUGUGAGCAGUGAUUUUCAACUGCAGUACUAUGUUGACAUUUUGAACUUGCAUAUUUCUUUGUUGUGGGGGCUAUGCAUUUUUUGAGUACAACUGUAGAAUGUUCAGCAGCGAACCUGCUCUCUACUCCAUAUAUUGCCAUGUAUAUCCAAGAUGAAUUCUCAGUAAUGUAGUUGGUAAAUUUGGCAGAAGGUAGUCAUAGAAGUCAUCUUAGUGUGCUGUAAUUUUUGGGACAUUUUCAGAGGCAAAAUGCACAAUUUGAGCUCAUUAUCAAGCAUAUUUGAUAUUUUGUUUAUUUAGAAACAUUUCCUCUAUCAAGGGACUUAUUACCUAGAUUUUCAUGAGGACAUUCAUUUAACGGCAAUUAUUGCACACCAUCUUAAAGGUCACAUGUGUCAUACUAGACCGAACCAGUUAAUUGUCUAGCCACUCUGUGAUUUGGCCUCUGAUUCUCACCAAGUUAUAUCUUGAGCCUUUCAGAGCUGUGUUUUGCAACAUCACACUCCAAAAAGAUCUCAAACAUCCAUCAUUUGAUUAAGAUCCCAUUAUAAAUUAAAUAGUAAAUAUAUUUGAAACAGUUUUUGAACCUGCUCCUAUAUGCUCAUGUUCACUGCUUUUUAGAAGACAUAGAAUUCUAAAUGUUGGGGAUCUCCAAUGCAUUUGCAAAGGACAGUCACAGGGCCUGAUUCAUAGUGAGCUCCUCAUUUUCUCCUUUCUACAGACUGGCAAGACUUCUUUUUUGAUAGUCACUGCUGCCCAUUCUAUCUGCUGAGGUUUUGUUAUCCACCAGAAGGAAGGCAGAAACUUAUGAAGUGCUGCCAGGUGGACCUUUUAUUUACUGACCUUUGACAGAAUCACAAAGAACUCUUUUGGUUUAAGGGCUUUACUGUUAAUUCUGCUGGGAAAAUAGAAAACAGAUAAAAAUAGCAAAGAUGGGAAAGUUGUGAAGGUUACAGAUGCUGAUAAAGUUCCUAUAGUCUUAUUUCCUAGUUAAUUUUUCUUGAUUCCCUUUUGAAGACAGGAACUGAAAACCUCCCUUUGAAUUCUGUCGCGUGAUUUUAUUUCAGGAGUAAGGCCAAUUCAAAUGUCGCUUGUCUGACUCAUCUACAGAGGAAGAAAAUCAAGGAUACAUGGGUAAAGUUUAGCAACUGAAUAAGAUUUACUGUUAGCAAACCUAAAGUACUCAUCGAGAAGGAGUACGGAGAGGCUGCUGUGUCCAGUGAGUUUUGGAAUAGGAGCAGGGUUUGCGUGCUGCCAAAUUUCUUGCCUUUUUUGGAAGUCUCAGAAGUGUCAUGUCCUCAGGGCCUCAUGGGAACAUGAGAAAGCUGUCUGAAUUAUUUGAGUGGUGUGGAAGUAUUAAAUUGGGGUAAUAUUCUUACCUAUCUUUGUAAUGAAGAUCCAAGUGUGGAUGAACUGCAUAAUCUACCAACCUUUUGACACCAUAUUGGGCGUAUCAUUUGCCCUUCAUCCUAGCAUGCAUGGAUCUGUUGACUGUCUCACCAGAUGCCUCAACCAGGAGGACCCCCUAAUCUUGGACUGCGAACCUCAAAAAUGUAAACCGCAAUAAACCUUAUUCAUUCCAAGAAGUGCCUCUCAUUUUAGCUAAAGUAACAAAGAGCCAACUGAUGCGAGAAACUUAGUUCUUCAGAGCACCUGCCCUGGAAGCAGACUGAACUGUGUGAAUUCCAGCUCCACUACUAAUCAGGCAGCAUACGUAGUGGUCAGACAUUUGAACUCCUUCUCUACCAACUGCUUGGAAUGUGUCUGUAGGCUGGGGAUAAUCAUAUCUCAUAACCCUGCUACAAAGGCUAAAUAAG